GUAGGCUCGCAACCUGUCAUUGCUGCCCUCUGCCAGUUGUAUUGGUAAUUUGAGGGAAAACCACAGUAGGAUGUUUGGUUGGAGGGAACGCCAAAGGCCCACAUAUUUUUCAGCACUCAGUACCAUUUAUUUCUUCUGCUUCGAAUAAUCACCAACAACAACGCGCAAAUGAAAAUAAAUUGUACUACUCGAAAUGCUGAAAAUAUAUGGGGUCAUUUAGUGUUCCGUACAUUUGGCGUUCCGUAAAAAUGGGCCAAGGGUGAGAGCCAGAUGGCAGGAACAGAGUUCUAUCAAAAUGUAACAAGAUGCAGCCUCGAUUCUCAAUAUGAUAUGGUUGAUAAACGCAUGAAAUAAAAAAAAAUGGUUAAAGGAAUGAGAAAAGAAUAAAGAAGUGUGUUUAAUUACAGACAAUAAAAGUAUGUAAGUCAAAGAUGAAUUACUGAAUACAGAGACCUCUGAAUA